GUGGAAUAUCAGGAUAAAAACACCUACAGCUGUGUGCUGAACAAUCCCAUCAGCAACCAGACCACACAUCUGGACAUCAACACACUCUGCAGACACACAUGUGCAGUGUCCGUGUCUCUGAUAGUGUUGAUCUGUUCUGCUGCUGCCGGAUCUCUGUUGAUUGUUGUUGCAGUCGUGAUCUGCUGCAUCUGCAGGAAACGUAGAAAAACGUUUCAUACCCGGGAAGAAGACAGAAAUAAGUCAGCAUCCUGUAAACAAAAAAGGAAAAAAAUGAAAUCAAAGGAGGCUGUGUAUGAAAAUGUCCUCAAAAAACGAUGAUCAAAUACCAUCUUCUGGAAUAAAUGUUAGAGCUCUCUGGCCUUGACUCACCUCAUAGUUCACAUUAAUUUUCUGCCAGGAUGUUUUAACUUUAUUUUCAUACUUUUUAUAUUCUCGUGUAUUAUUGUAAUGUAUGAAAUUGUGUUUUCUGUAAUAGUUUAUUUUAGUGGUUCACGAAUAGCAUUGCAUCCAGAAACUCAACUAAACAAUCCAUAGCUUACAUGUGACUUUAUUGUCAAUAUUAUUUAUUUACAUAUUUUAUUGUGUUUCAUUGUAUUUGCCCAUUUACUGUAAAUCAGCGACUUCUUUCUUUCUUGACCGGUCAGUGUAUACACAUUUACACAAUUGAUGAUAAACAAACCCUUACAUUAUUAUAAUAAAACCUAUUAAUAAACGUG